rnacentral:rRNA from 1 species
UACGUAGGGUGCAAGCGUUGUCCGGAAUUAUUGGGCGUAAAGAGCUCGUAGGCGGUCUGUCGCGUCGGCUGUGAAAACUCGGGGCUCAACCCCGAGCCUGCAGUCGAUACGGGCAGACUAGAGUGCUGUAGGGGAGACUGGAAUUCCUGGUGUAGCGGUGAAAUGCGCAGAUAUCAGGAGGAACACCGGUGGCGAAGGCGGGUCUCUGGGCAGUAACUGACGCUGAGGAGCGAAAGCCGUGGGGAGCGAACAGG